CCAAUUAGCUCUGGAGAGAGGCGCUAUAUAGCGACCACCUAAGAGGAAAGAGGGCUGUAUAAGCGCCGUUAAACUUUCAGGUUUUGGACAGAGGGGCGGCA
rnacentral:ncRNA from 2 species